rnacentral:rRNA from 1 species
CCAAUAGCGUAUAUUAAAGUUGUUGCAGUUAAAAAGCUCGUAGUUGAAUUUCGGGGUUCUACCGUCGGUCGGGCUAACAAGUCUGUACUGGUGUGUAGAACUUCUACCUUUUGGGGAACUAACAUGUUAUUAAUUUAGCGUGGUAGGAAACCAGGACCUUUACCUUGAAAAAAUUAGAGUGUUCAAAGCAGGCUUAAGUCUGAAUACAUUAGCAUGGAAUAAUAGAAUAGGACGGUGGUCCUGUUUUGUUGGUUUCUGAAUCACCGUAAUGAUUAAUAGGGAUAGUUGGGGGCAUUAGUAUUCAAUUGUCAGAGGUGAAAUUCUUGGAUUUAUUGAAGACUAACUUCUGCGAAAGCAUUUGCCAAGGAUGUUUUCAUUAAUCAAGAACGAAAGUUAGGGGAUCGAAGACGAUCAGAUACCGUCGUAGUCUUAACCAUAAACUAUGCCGACUAGGGAUCGGACGAUGUUAAAUUUUAUUGACUCGUUCGGCGCCUUACG